rnacentral:rRNA from 1 species
CAGUAGCCGCGGGAAUACGGAGGGUGCAAGCGUUAAUCGGAAUUACUGGGCGUAAAGCGGACGCAGGCGGUCUGACAAGUCAGAUGUGAAAUCCCCGGGCUUAACCUGGGAACUGCAUUUGAAACUGUCAGGCUGGAGUCUUGUAGAGGGUGGUGGAAUUCCAGGUGUAGCGGUGAAAUGCGUAGAGAUCUGGAGGAAUACCGGUGGCGAAGGCGGCCCCCUGGACAAAGACUGACGCUCAGGUGCGAAAGCGUGGGGAGCAAACAGGAUUAGAUACCCCUGUAGUCCCUGUCUCUUAUAA